rnacentral:rRNA from 1 species
UACGUAGGGUCCGAGCGUUGUCCGGAAUUAUUGGGCGUAAAGGGCUCGUAGGCGGUUCGUCACGUCGGGAGUGAAAACUCGGGGCUUAACCCCGAGCCUGCUUCCGAUACGGGCAGACUAGAGGUAGGCAGGGGAGAGCGGAACUCCUGGUGUAGCGGUGGAAUGCGCAGAUAUCAGGAGGAACACCGGUGGCGAAGGCGGUUCUCUGGGCCUGUACUGACGCUGAGGAGCGAAAGCGUGGGGAGCGAACAGG